rnacentral:rRNA from 1 species
UACAGAGGGUGCAAGCGUUGUUCGGAAUUACUGGGCGUAAAGCGUGCGUAGUCGGUAUUGAGAGUCGCGGGUGAAAUCCCAGGGCUUAACCCUGGAACUGCCUGCGAGACCUCAGUACUAGAGUGUGAGAGGGGAUAGUGGAAUACCCAGUGUAGCGGUGAAAUGCGUAGAGAUUGGGUGGAACACCGGUGGCGAAGGCGGCGAUCUGGCCCAACAUUGACACUGAGACCCGAAAGCGUGGGGAUCAAACAGG